UGAGACAAAAUUUCCUGGCUGGAUGGU
rnacentral:piRNA from 1 species